rnacentral:rRNA from 1 species
UACAGAGGGUGCGAGCGUUGUUCGGAAUUAUUGGGCGUAAAGCGCUGGUAGGUGGCUUGUUAAGUCGCGUGUGAAAGCUCCAGGCUCAACCUGGAAAGUGCGCGCGAAACUGGCGAGCUUGAGUGCCGGAGAGGGGCGCGGAAUUCCCGGUGUAGAGGUGAAAUUCGUAGAUAUCGGGAGGAACACCAGAGGCGAAGGCGGCGACCUGGAAGGUAACUGACACUGAGCAGCGAAAGCGUGGGGAGCAAACAGG